rnacentral:misc_RNA from 1 species
AAAAAAAAACAAAAGAAAAAUAAAAACAAAAACAGAAGAAGGAAGGGGAAAAACCCAAGAAACAGAGUACCUUAAAACAAGGAGGGAGACAUUUCAAAUAGUCAGCAGCAGCAGCAGCAGGAGCAGGAGCAGAAGCUGAAACAGAGACAGAAAAGAAAGAGAGAGAACAACCCCAAACCAAACGCAGAUCCCUCCAUUAUUAUAAUUUUCUAUUUCAAUAAAUGCUUAUUUAUUUAUUUUUCAAUAUAUUUAAUAUGUUGUUUAAUUAUUGAGGGCAACUCUAGGGUUUUACUUCCCUCUACCCUGAGAAGUCUCUAGAACAAAGGCUCCGCUCAUACAUAGAUAAGCACACGCUCGAAGUAGAGACGCAAAAAGAGAGAGAGAGAGAG